rnacentral:miRNA from 1 species
UAUGGUUGUGACAAACAUCACG